rnacentral:rRNA from 1 species
UACGAAGGGGGGCGAGCGUUUGUUCGGAAUUACUGGGCGUAAAGGGCGCGCAGGCGGCUCUGAAAGUCAGAUGUGAAAGCCCCGGGCUUAACCUGGGAACUGCAUUUGAUACUCUGGAGCUUGAGUGUGGGAGAGGAGAGUGGAAUUCCCAGUGUAGAGGUGAAAUUCGUAGAUAGUUGGGAAGAACACCGGUGGCGAAGGCGGCUCUCU